AUUGAACGCUGGCGGCAGGCCUAACACAUGCAAGUCGAGCGAGUGGCGGACGGGUGAGUAAUGCCUGGGAAUCUGGCUUAUGGAGGGGGAUAACUACUGGAAACUGUAGCUAAUACCGCGUACCAUCAGAUGAGCCCAAGUGGGAUUAGGUAGUUGGUGAGGUAAAGGCUCACCAAGGCGACGAUCCCUAGCUGGUCUGAGAGGAUGACCAGCCACACUGGGACUGAGACACGGCCCAGACUCCUACGGGAGGCAGCAGUGGGGAAUAUUGCGCAAUGGGGGCAACCCUGACGCAGCCAUGCCGCGUGUAUGAAGAAGGCCUUCGGGUUGUAAAGCACUUUCAGUCGGGAGGCGUUACCUGCAGAAGAAGCACCGGCUAACUCCGUGCCAGCAGCCGCGGUAAUAC
rnacentral:rRNA from 1 species